rnacentral:rRNA from 1 species
CACGUAGGGUGCGAGCGUUGUCCGGAAUUAUUGGGCGUAAAGAGCUCGUAGGCGGUGUGUCGCGUCGGCCGUGAAAACCUGCAGCUUAACUGUGGGCUUGCGGUCGAUACGGGCAUCACUGGAGUUCGGCAGGGGAGACUGGAAUUCCUGGUGUAGCGGUGAAAUGCGCAGAUAUCAGGAGGAACACCGGUGGCGAAGGCGGGUCUCUGGGCCUUACCUGACGCUGAGGCGCGAAAGCUAGGGGAGCGAACAGG